rnacentral:ncRNA from 1 species
CUACAGACUUAGUUGGAUUGAGCCUUGGUAUAGAAACCUACUAAGUGAUAACUUUCAAAUUCAGAUAAACCCUGGAAUUAAAAAUGGGCAAUCUUGAGCCAAAUCCUGUAUUUCAAAAACAAACAAAGGUUCAUAAAGACAGAAUAAAAAAAAAGGAUAGGUGCAGAGACUCAAUGGAAGUUAUUCUAACAAACAGAGUUGACUGCGUUGCAUUAGUAAAGUAAAGAAAUCCUUUCAUCAAAAUUCUAGAUUCCAGAAAGGAUAAAGUAAAGGAUAACCAUAUAUACAUACAGAUACGUACUGAAGUAAUAUCUCAGAUGAUUAAUAGGGGGCCGAAUCCGUAUUUUUUAUCUUUAUAUGAAAAAAAGAAUUGUUUUGAUUUGAAUUGAUUCCAAGUUGAAGAAAGGAUUGAAUAUUAAUUGAUCACAUCAUUCACUCUAUAGUCUGAUAGAUAACUGAUUAAUCGCACGAGAAUAAAGAUAGAGUCCUAUUCUACAUGUCAAUAUCGA